rnacentral:rRNA from 1 species
UACGAGGGGGGCGAGCGUUGUUCGGAAUUACUGGGCGUAAAGCGCGUGUAGGCGGUCUGAAUAGUCUGCUGUGAAAGCGCCUGGCUUAACCGGGCGAGGUCGGCGGAAACUCUCAGACUGGAGGCCGGUAGAGGGGGGUGGAAUUCCCGGUGUAGUGGUGAAAUGCGUAGAGAUCGGGAGGAACACCUGUGGCGAAGGCGGCCCCCUGGGCCGCGCCUGACGCUGAGACGCGAAGGCUAGGGGAGCGAACGGG